AUUAGAUCAUAUUCUUUCAUAUACACUCAUUUUUCUUGCUCUGUUAAAUAAUGUUAACUGGGGAUUUCAUCAAUCAUUUGUAUAAGAACCACACUAAGAAAGAGAACAGAUACUGUUGGGCUUAUUGGAGCAAAAUAAGGAAUGUUAAGGAAAUAGUUUAGCAGAAAGCUUUUAUGUUAAUAAAGGAGACUUCUUGUGUGGAUGGAAGCACAGUGAAAAUUUGGAAAACAUUAGCUUUCAAAAAAACCCACAAGGGACAUAUUGUUUAUCAUGCAGAAAAUAGAACAAUAAACUCCAAAAGGGAUAGAUAGCACAGCCAUAUGUUAUGAGAUCCUAUAAUGUGCUCAUGGAACAGGCUGCAUGAACUGGAGCUGUGCUAAGCAGCAAGGGAAGAAAUGCCAGCCUUUAAGACAUUGUCAGCUUUGUCCAAAGAGCACCGUGGCACUGGGAUACUUGAACUGGUUAGCUGCACCAGGGGAGAGGAAACAAUGAGAUACAACUUCCGAGACAACAGUGAACUGAAACCUCUCCAUAAGGAAUGCUUGUGGAUCGUGACUUCACCUCAAGCCUACAGGCAUGAAUUGAAG
rnacentral:lncRNA from 1 species